rnacentral:lncRNA from 1 species
GAGGGAUGGCUCAGUGCCACCAAAGGGAUGAGUAGGAAUUGAAUCAUAGGAUUCGGCCACAGCUUCGAUCCUUCACUAGCUCGAUAUCCUUCAGCAUCCUUACAAGCCUCGACGCCCGAGACCUAGAGCAAUGUACACAUGGAGGAGGUCGUGCAGAGGCUUCUAAGCCAGCGACCUCAGAGCCUCUUGGAUACCAUCCGUGAUAUGGUCAUAAAGCUUCUUCGGGAUCCACAGUUGCACGACUGAUUGGA